rnacentral:rRNA from 1 species
CCUACGGGUGGCAGCCGUGAGGAAUAUUGGUCAAUGGCCGGAAGGCUGAACCAGCCAUGCCGCGUGAGUGAAGAAGUAAUUCGUUAUGUAAAGCUCUAUCAGCAGGGAAGAAAAUGACGGUACCUGAGUAAGAAGCCCCGGCUAACUACGUGCCAGCAGCCGCGGGAAUACGUAGGGGGCAAGCGUUAUCCGGAUUUACUGGGUGUAAAGGGAGCGUAGACGGCAGUGCAAGUCUGGAGUGAAAGGCGGGGGCUCAACCCCCGGACUGCUUGGGAAACUGUACGGCUGGAGUGCAGGAGAGGUAAGUGGAACUCCUAGUGUAGCGGUGAAAUGCGUAGAUAUUAGGAGGAACACCAGUGGCGAAGGCGGCUUACUGGACUGUAACUGACGUUGAGGCUCGAAAGCGUGGGGAGCAAACAGGAUGAGAUACCCGUGUAGUC